GUGGAAUUGGCGCAGUUGGUAGCGCACUGGUUUGUGGCACCAGGGGUCUAGGGUUCGAACCCCUAAUUCCACCCCA
rnacentral:tRNA from 1 species